UACAGCAAUGUUGUGAAAGUCACUUUAGACCUACCAUACUAUUGACAUUUUUAAACAUUGCUCUUAGAAAUGGUGUGUUUUAACCUGAGAAACUAGAUUAUGAUAAACUGAACUACUUAUAUUUAUACUUACAGGUGGUCCCUUACUACACAACCUUUGUGAGUGGCGCAACUUUGUGGGAUAGAGGCAUUUACCAUCCUGCUGUUAUAUGUCAUUCGGGCCCGUAACGGAGGAGGCGCUCCCGAGUCAACCCCUACAGGAAAUAGCAGGUCCUGCCUCUGUGGGGCAGAGGCAAGGGAUCAGGAGCAUGGGGGUGCGGACUCUCAACCAAUGCACAAGAAGGAAGAAAGUCUCUGAUGAACCGAUGGCAGACAUUUGGUCAAAGCCUAUCAGCACUGAGUAUCGGAGAGGAAAAGAGAGCUGGAAAGAGAGGCUGUGCAGCACAAGGGGCUGUUCAGUUCCUGGACCAUGAUCACAAGUUGGGGGAGGAAGAGACAGCACAGCAGAAGGAGCUUUUUGAGAGGUCGCUCAGUCUCCUGGCCACCAGACUGCAGGCUCAAGCUCCAGAGCUAGUGCCACACACUGAAUCCCCUCCACACUAUCUUGUCCUACAAUGUCUGCAGCCUUUGGGCAAUUCUUGUGCUCAGUUUGCACACGAGGUUGCACGAGCAGGUUUCAUUAAUUUUAUAAAAUGCAACACCAUGGUAUCCAUAAACUGUGUGUUGAGGUACGUGACCAGUUUCUGUAAUGUGCAUAAGGCUAUGAUUUUUUCAUGGAUGUUGCGGGAAGUCACAGAAUCCGUGACUUCCCGCGACCUCCGUGACUUCAGCCCAUGGCAGCUGGCAGGGGUGGUGGGGGGAACAUGGAGUUCCAAGCCCCCAGAGUUCAGAGUGGGCCCUAACAGCUGCCUAGCCACUACAGAAAAGUGUGGGGACCCGGCAGCUGAGCUCUCCAUUUGGUCAUGGAUAUUUUUAGUAAAAAUCAGGGACAAGUCACAGGCUUCCGUGAAUUUUUCUUUAUUGUCUGUGAGUUGCCCCUGACUUUUACUAAAAAUAUCCAUGACAAAAUCUUAGCCUUAAACAUGCAUAACAAAAUGUAUAAAAUUUCAUCACUGUAAUCCAGAAACUGUGCAGUGAGGCACAUAAAUAGUGCCUGAAAUGCAUAAUAAAAUUUCAUAAAAAUAAAGUCUUCCAAGCUAUUGCAGCCCCAGGAAUAGUGGAAUGAGUGUGGCAUAAUUACAAAUACUAUGUCAUUCCCUCUCUCCAUUGCAUUGUGAAGUCCCAUUAUGAGGGCGCACAUAUACCUGACUUCUGUUGCACGUGUGAAUCCUGCCCUGGUAAAUGAUUGGUGCACUUUCUGGUUGAGUAUACUGGUCCAGCAAUCCAUCAGUGUCUUGAGUCCACUCCUAGGAAAAUGGCUCACUUUUGUCCUCACAGACAUUGUGCAGCGCAAAGUAGGCCACAAAAAUGCAGCUGGCAUCCAAAUGGUUUGGAAGGUAGAGAUUUCAAUCUGCCCCAAUGCACAUACCAUCACUGUCCAACAGCUUCUGUACAGGUAGUUGAUCCUUCUUUUAUUUCAAGCUCUCUGUGAUCAGAGUACAGUUUCAUAAGCCCUGGCAAAAGGGGGCUUGUGGAAUAACAAUGAGGACAGUGACUCCAUUUGUAACAAUAUUUGGUAGGAAUAACGUCCCACCUUGUCCAUAAAGGUAGAGUCCACUGAAAUCAAAUGGCAGCUUUGAAACUCCCAACUGUACUGAACAAUUAGUUUGUAAUGUUAAUUUUGUGUAGUUGUAUCUGGAUAUUGCACAUUGUAUUACCUUAACUUGUUCUGAGAGAAACAAAAUGAAACACAAAUAUUAGAAGCAUCAUUAAAGAUUGCUUUCUAAACAGUGGUCUAAAUGAUUGUGACAGUAAAAAAUAUGUUGAAUAAGAUGAAAGAAAAUUGUUGGAAAACUGGUCUAGUUACCAGCUACUCAUAGUUUAAUUGUCUAUGGACUGUUUCUCUUCAAGGGAAUGAAUCAUACAUUAUAAACAUAAAAUAAUAGGACAUUAUCAUAUAGGGUUAUGUGAGUUUACUCCAUAUCAUAUGAUGUGAAAGAAAUAUACAACAGGGAACGAGAUGUGUGGACCGAAAAAAAAAAAAAGCAUAAUCUUCCCUCCAGGUAUAAGUGACUUCAAUUCAGAUAAGAGGCAGGUCCUUUGAGAAUGCUCCCUUUCAGAAAUUUCUCUCAUAUAAAGUAUUUUCAUCUCAGCUGGGGUCUGAAGGGUAGGCAGUAUGCACUAGCUUAUCUCCAAACAUGUAGCGGUAACAGCAUGUGAACAACCCCUGCGGCUAAAUCAGAUAGUCUGGUGCCAACCCCACUUUCUGUUAAGCUUCUGUGCAGUCUUACAGGGUUGAUCUGUUAAGACUCUAAAAGUAUAAUGGUUUAAUAUUACAACCAUCCUUGAUAAACAGUAUAACAGCAUACUAGUAAGGGAGGGAUGUAACCAGACUUAAACACCCAGGAGUCCCUGGGGUUCUAAUUUUACUUUUUUACACAUCUAGAUAAUAAUAAUACUUAACAGCUCUAUGCUCCCCCCCCACAUCCAUAGCUCUCAAAGCACUGUACAAAGGAGGGGUAGAAAUCGUUUAUCCCAGUUUUACAGAUGGGGAAACUGAGGCACAGAAUUAAAAGGCUAUUAGCAUAGUCCUCUUUGAAACAGGACUGCAUUGCCACGAACUGGGCACAUUUUGGUUUGCUCCAGCAGUGUUCCCAUGGGGCAGUUAGCGGCAUAGCUUUGGUGCACUCUGCAGUUCACACCUCCGUUGUCUGCACGGCGGCGCAGUGUGGACAAGCCCCCAGCAGCAGCAGCAGGAGUGCAUUUUUUGGAUUGAUAAUCAGUGAUAUGUUAGUGAGUUCUGAAUCUUUACAGUAGAAAUUAAGGCUUUAGAUCAAGAGGCAAUCAGAGAUUUCAGAUUUUGAAAACAGAUGACUCCAGUGUCUGGAGUCUACGGAAUAGAUAAUAGACGGUGAUGCUCUUGACCCUACCCACAGGGGCACGUGGAAGGCUUUCAGAGCCAGACUGACUGAACUCCUGUGGACAGUUGACUUAAGAAAGCCACAUCUUUAGGGCUUUUGUUUUUCAGGUUUUAUUAAUUUCAUUUUUUGGAGUUCAUUUUUAGCAAAUUCUGAGGUUUCUGUAGAUGUUCCAAAAUCAGGGUUUUUCAGGGCUAUUCUUUUUGCAUAUACUGGUAAUUAAUGUAAUCUCUGGAAUGUUCCUCUGACGGUGCUUACUCCCAUCACUUGUUAGUCAAGGGGUUAAGAGCCAGGUAGUGCGCUGUGAUUGAUAGAUUGCCUCAUGGCCAGAGGGGGUGGGGCUAGAUAAUCAAUAGACACUUGGCCCAUAUAAAGAAGCUGAGGGAACUUGGUGGGGGUGGAGGGACAAACUGCAGAGGAGACAGGUGAGAAACCCACAGAGAGCAGGUCAGGGCAGAAGAGUAGUUAGUUCAGUAGAGAAAGGAGAAGCCAAAGGCCUGAGAACCAAAGGGAGGCUGUGUUAAGUACAAGCUGGGGAUAAGCAGCACAAAGGUUCUUGGAGGUAGGAAGCAACUCAGGGAAACAGCAGCAUGUUUGAAGAAGCGGACCUAGCUGCUUAAUACAGGGUCCAUUGGCUGGAAUCCAGAGUAGAGGGUGGGCCUAGGUUCCCUUACCAAUCCUGACAUGCAAGCCCAACAGAAAGAAUAUUGAACCCAGGGUAGGGCUGAAGACUGACCCCAAAAGAUGGUCUGAAGCAUCGCCAAAAGUUGGGAUAGAAGCUGAAGGCUCUUUCAUGUUGGGAUAUUUUGUGAAGUUUCACAUUGGACCUUUUCAUUACCCCCGAUGAGGAAUGAACUUUAUGUGACUCUGUGGGAGGGUUGAGCUAUGGAAGACCUGGUGAGAGGCAGAUGGCCUGCAGCAGGUGAUGGAAAUAAGGGCAUCACAGUCCCCGACACAAGAGGGCGUGACGGGUGACGAGUAUACUGCCUUAUAGUUCCGAAGUGCAUUUUAAUGUAGUAUUGUUUCAAACAGCUCUACAUUAAAGCAUAUUAGAGAACCUUCAUUGCACACCAGCACGGUCUCCACAGACCAAUUAAUGCACAACAUGGUAGUUAGCUUUAUAAAUCACACCCUGUAGUCUGUUACUGCACUAGGUAGACUAGCCCUUAAAUACAAGUAACCAUUUUGGGUGCUUUACCGGUGUUUAUUGGAUAAACACUGAUUUCUUUUUGGUAUUGAGGGUGUAUUAUUUGUGUUUUUCAGUUUUAACUGAUAAAAUCCUACAUAUCUUGUUUAGGUGUGUUCCAUUAACAGGCAUUGGCUGGUUCAUGCUGGUCACAGCCUAACGUGUUUCUGACCCUGAUUCUCCUUUUUGUCCAUAUUAAAUUUGGUAUCACCAGGGUGCUGCUGUUGACUGUCUCACUUCCAUCCAGUUAAAAACCAACAUUUAAAAAUAAAAAGAUCACCAAGCCUGAUUUUUGUAGGCAGGAAAAGAAGAGGUUUCUGUGUUGUGUUUACUUUUGGGAGGUGCUUAGCUUCUAUGGUGAUGGAGACCAUGAGUCAUAAGAACGGCCCUACUGGAUCAAACCAAAGGUCCAUGUAGCUCAGUAUCCUGUCUUCCGACAGUGGCUAAUGCCAGGUGCCCCAGAGGGAAUGAAGAGAGCAGGUAAUCAUCAAGUGAUCUAACCCCUGUUGCCCAUUCCCAGCUUCUGGCAAACAGAGGCUAGGGACACCAUCCCUGCUCAUCCUGGCUAAUAGCCACUGAUGGAUCUAUCCUCCAUGAAUUUAUCUAAAAGUUCUUUUUUGAACCCUGUUAUAGUGUGGCCUUCAUAACAUUCUCUGGCAAGGAGUUCCACAUCUGCAAUUUUUGCCACCUCAGUGUUUACCCCUUUCCCCAGAUCAUUUAUGAAUAUGUUAAAUAGGACUGGGCCCAGUACAGACCCCUGGGGAACACUAAUAUUUACUUCUCUCCAUUCUGAAAACUGACUAUUUAUUCCUACACUUUGUUUCCUAUCUUUUAACUUUGCUUACUUUGCUUAAGAGCCUCUGUUGAGGGACCUUGUCAAAGGCUUUCUGAAAAUCUAAAUACACUAUAUCCACUGGAUCCCCCUUGUCCACAUGCUUGUUGACCCCCUCAAAGAAUUCUAGUAGAUUGGUGAGGCAUGAUUUCCCUUUACAGAAACCAUGUUGACUAUUCCCCAACUAAUUAUGUUCAUCUGUGUGUCUGACAAUUUUGUUCUUUACUGUAGUUGCAACCAGUUUUUUUCCCAAACAUGAAUUUUUCACCCCUGCUUCACUGAGAAUUAUGAAACACAACCAGCGUGGAGUGUCUAGCUUCAGUUAUUUUUGAGCCACAUGAGAGUGAAAAAUAGCACCUGGAACAUAAGAUAUGGGAAGGGUAUUUCCCCUUCUUCCCCCACUGCCGCAGUGCAUUAGUCAAACUGCUGAGCCAAUUUUGCUAAAACUUUAAAAAAACAAACCAACUUUUGGGCUGAGACUAUCAAGUGAACUAGUCACACCAGAAUUUGAAUUUGGCCCCUUUUUCUAUUGAUUAAAUUAUCAAUAGUCAUUGAUUUUAAUUUAACAAAUGCGUUUGUUAUUCCAAACCAUUUGACAGAUGGUUCCACGUAGCUGUAUUUCAAUUUAUAGAUUGCCUACGAGCUCAUCACCAUGACUUGUGCUGAGUGUUCACUGUCAGUGAUUUGUCUCCCAAACCCACUAGGAGUUGUCGGGAUGUGAUCAUUGCUGGCACAAAUAUUUGUGCGUGUGCUGUGUUGAUAGGCCCAGAGGUUUGGAUUUGAAUCCCAGAUUUCACACCGUGUCAUGGUGUGGUGCAGGCAGGAACAAGGAACACACAGAAGCACAUGCGGGUUCAGUAAGAGUAAGUGAUUUAUUUGUGCUAUCCGGGACAUGUGACAUCAGUGUCAGAACCACUUCUGGGUGCAGAGAGACCUCCAAUAUUAACACGUUCAGUGCCUACCAUCAUAAGUUCAUCCAUUCACAUGAAUAUUUGGAAUACUCUCUGCAAACAUUCUCGUGCACAGGCAUUCACUUGCACGGAUAUUUGUUGAAAGUGAAUAAAAGGGCUUAGCAACCACCGGUGAAACAUGGUGUUUUUUUUAAAAUUCAAAUAAAUCUUUGGUGAGUAUUUGUGGUCUCCCCCCCCCCACACACACAAUAUUUGACUUGUUGAGACUAAGCUCAGACCAAGUAUAGAACAUUUCAUCUCCAAAAAAUCUUUUUUUCUUUAAAGUUAUGAGGAAAUAAAAAGGGUGGUUAGACUAAAAAAUGGAACUCAGCCUUAACACAGUGUCUACAACAAACAUUCUAAAAAUGGCUCAGGUACGUGACUCAAUUUUUCCAAGAAAAUAAAUGGACAAAAUAGCAGCAUUAAUUAUGGAUGUGGCCUAAUUUAUUAGGUAAAGUUCAAAAAUAGUAAAAUAUAUACAUAAAACAAAUGACUACACAUAUAUCUGAAGUAGUGAACCAUAUAACAUACAGUGAUGUAGCACAGGGAGAAACAUGCAGUAAGUUUUUCCAAGUUUUUUUCACUUGAGAUAUCUGUAUAUGAAGGUAUAUUUUCUUUCAAAAGAACAGGCUAAAUAGCCUAUUAAUGCUGUACUUGUAAUAUUAGUACAAACCCUUUCAAGACAGAUUACAGUAUUUUGAUUCGUUACUCAUCAGUAUGUAUAAUUAUCGUUUAACAAUAUUAUGAAGGGCUGAUGAAGAGAAGCAGGUGUUUAAACAUGCAGUGCCAGUAGGUUUGACACAGCGUCUCAUUCUCUUUAUGUGUACUUUUAAAAGACAUCUAUUGAAGGAGUGAAAACAAUGGGGCACUGCACAAUGGUA